rnacentral:lncRNA from 1 species
CACCACAGCUCACAGCAAUGCCGAUCCUUCACCCACUGAGCGAGGCCAGGGAUUGAACCUAAAACCUCAUGGUUCCUAGUCGGAUUCGUUAACCACUGCGCCACAACGGGAACUCCUUGAUGUGUUUCUUAAUCUGUCACCAUUUCCUAUUCUGGAGUAAGACAAAGUAUGAGCUAUUUUCUUUCCUUCCUUUGGUUUUGACUUUACAGAGCUUUAUAUUGUUAAAUAAAACUAGAUAAAGCAGAAAACUAUACUAUGUAUUUUAGACUGAAAUUUUGACUUUGGUGACAAAUAGUUUUUAUUGGAAUUUUAUGUUAACCCAUUUUUAUGCUUAUCAAUUAAGAAAUGGUUCAUGGCAAAGUUAUCACUUUAUUAAUGAAAAAUUUAAAAGCUCAUUAUAGCAUUUUCCAUGGGUGGAAACACUGACAAAAUUAAAAAUAUGAUAGAAAAGUUCAGGCUGUUUAUGCAAUUUUAAUAGCCCAUAUUUAUAGCAACUUGUGUGUAAAAGAAGCACAUUAAUUAGUAAUAAUGCUGGUUGAAUUAUUUUUUUGGCACUAACAUGUCUCUAGGGCUGAUGUUAGAUGAAUUUAACUUUUUUUUGGAUAUUAUUGCUAUGAUUAACUGUUUUAACAUCAGAUGACAGUAUAUAGAAUAAUGUCAGUGUAAUGUAGUAUUACAACAGAACUGACCUAUAGAGGUUUAAGUCCACCUUCUAGUACUCAGUAUUAAAUGACGUGUUUCUAAGUGCAUUCCUUGGAUUCAGUGGGUUGCACACUGAAUUUCUAUGACUAUUCACAUAUUAAUGAAAUUAAAAUCUUUCAACGAGAUGUAAGAAUUUUGUCUCGUCCAUAAUGAAGACAUGUUCCAUCCUAUGGUGAGAGUAAGUGUCCAAGAAGUUUAUUUUUGGAAUGAAUAAUCACAUAACUAAGUAUACCUAUAGCUAAAGUUUGCCUGAAUCCAUUAUCCUUCUAUGCUUUGGGCAUAUGUUUCCAGAAGCCUUGCAAUAAAUAAGUGGCUAGACUACCAUAAUUUAGUUUAUUAAACUAAAAUUGUUUGGGCCUUUAAAUUUUUUUGAUGCAGUUCGCUGUCCACUCUUCUGAUUUUACUUACUAUCAGCGAUUUUGAGGUUCUUUGAAGAUAUUAAAUAAGCUGACAGUACAGUUAGCAUUUAGCUGCUAUAUUCCUCCAAACACAUGUCACAAAACAAGGUAUUACUUUUUGUUGUGUUUAUAAAGGGUAAACAAAUGGAAGUUCCUGGGUCAGGGAUUGAAUCUGAGUUGCAGCUGCAGCCUAUGCUGAAGCUGCAGCAUUGACAGAUCCUUUAACCUACCUGCCAGGCGGGGAUCGAACCCACAUCUCAGCAGUGACCCAAGUCACUGCAGAGACAAAGCUGGAUCCUUAACCCUUUACACCACAGUGGGAACUCCUAUCUUCUACUUUUAAAGUAAAAAAUCACCUUAUAUUAUUUCACUAUAAUUAUCUUUUAUUUAAAUGUAUCAUUUUUUAGAUUAUCAAAGUGCAUAUAAUUUUAAUGUGUGAUCCAUCUGUUUGUGCCAACUUUAUCAUUUUAAAAUGUGCCUAUUUAGAGCCUCAUUUCAGCUGUCAAUAAAAAUGGAAUAAUUAAAAAAUGGUUUACUGUUACAUCUAGCUAGUAAUUCAUCAUGGCCCUAGGGUACUAUUUUCUAUGGUUUUCCAUCUUAGGUCAUAAUACAGAGACAUUUCUACUUUUAUAUUUCUACUUGAAUUGCUUCUGCUUAAUGGCUGAUAAGCUUAUCAUUGCUUUGUUCUGAUCCACCUAAGUUUCACCACCUAUAGUAGAAAGAAAAUUAACCUAAGUUUGCAUAUUUUACUGAGUUUUUAAUAUCUGUUUUUUAAAUAAUUCUUUUAUGUCACAUAUUAUUACCCUUAAUUUAAGCAUUUCUUUAAGGUUUUCUUUCAGUUUGCUUCCUGCAAGGUAAUUCUGACAGUUAAAAUUGUCAGAAUUUGAUACAUCUGAUACAUUGGUAACCCUUCCUUAUCCUUUUACUAGGCUUUUUGGUAGGCUAAACUCAAAAAGAGAACAGCUGCCACAACUCAAAACAGGAAGUCAUGUGGUCUUUCUUUGUACUCCUAUCUUUCAGGACUGACUUGGCUCCCUCUGCUGGUUAGUAUUAUAAUUCCUUUCUUAGUUCAAUAGGGUUAUGUACUGUCUUGGUGAAACAUUUGGGGUGAAUAAGCUUUGGUUCAAUAAGUGAGAGAUUCUCACAUCAAUUCUCUAGAAAAUUUUAUUGUUUAGCUAAGGUUUUAACCAAACCAUAUCUUAAAUAUCUAUAACUGAAAAAGAGCUGGUAUCAUAUGUCUGGAAAAAAAACUUUUAUUAUUAAUACUCUUAAACAAACUUACAAUACUGAAAUCUAUACUGAAAUAGGUGAAACUGUAAGUAGUGAAAUGUUUUAAAUUUUCUGAAGUGUCUAAAUUUUAUUAAAACAUUUCAGUAUAACAUAAUUCUUAUUUUCUGUCUGGUAGGUAAUUUUCAUCUCACUUAUAGUAUAUUGUCUCCCUUUCAAUUCUACACACAAUUCUCUCCUUUAGAAAUUUCCCCCUUUUAAAUCUUGUACACAAUUUAAAAUACAUUUAUUUAAAUAUAUAGAAUGAAUUAGAUGGCAAAUGAAAGUUAACUAUUUCCUUUAAGAAAUUGUAUUUACUUUGGCUAGAAAAAGAAAAGCCUUAUUGAAAGCUUGUUAUUUUUCAGGAGUUUCUAUCAUUUUCAGGGAAUAACUAGUUUGUAUGAUAAUUUGUAAAGGUAGCAGUCUGCUUUGCACUCCUAUGAUAAUAAACAUCCAUUUUAAGAUCAAAGGGAACGUGGGAAGAAGUAGAAAAAUAUUUUUUGCCUUAUAUUUAUUAUUUUGCUGUAUUGGGCAUCUGAGAUUAGAAAAUAUGCUACAACAAAUCAAUAAUAGUCAUGAACCUAAACACACCAAAUUUAGCUCUACUAGGAAAAUAAUUCCUUCUCACAACUUCAACCAUAUUUGACAUUCCUACAUAGUUUUAUUACCUACCCUUUACCUUAAAACCACCUUUCUGAAACCACCAUCACACUCUUCUAAAAUAUCCUGGUGUCUCCUCUAAAAUUCUUCACUAUUUCUUAGGCAAUCACAACUGUCUAGCAUUCCUCUUUUUCAUUUUCUAAGGAGGGAAGUAAGGAAAACCUGAACUACAGAUAAAACAAAGCACUACUUUUUUUGGCAUAUAUGCAUAAUAGAAAAUAUUAUUUUACAAGGUAACGCAGUUCAUACACACACAUAAAUGGAAUGUUUAUUUAAAAAUACAGACUUUACCCUGUGUGAUAAACUCUCAGAUUUUCUAUUCUUUCCUCUAUUUCAAAUAAAAAAAUGCUAACCUCAACCCAAUGAAUUUAUUUCAUGACCCAUAAUGGCACAUGACCCAGUUUUAAAACACUGGUCCUGAGGAGAUGCUUUGAAAUUAGCAUCAUAAGUACUCCCUUCAGACCUAUUUUAGAUAUUAAAUUUUUAGUGGAUUUUGUAUUGUUCUUUCAUAGAUAAAAUCAUUUUUUAAAUGAUGUUGUUCCAGAUUAGUUUAGUAUUAAAAUGCAUGUAGAUUUUAAUUGUUUCACAUUUAGCAUAUCUGUAGGUUUCAUUAAGAUUAGGCUUUCAUGAAAAUUUAAUGACCCCAAAUAAUUUUAUACUGAAUUUAUAUUUCAGAAAUGCACUUUUGGGGGACCCUACAGUAUUCAGUGCACAGUGCAACUUGAAAUGUAAUAUAACCCAUAACCAAUCACUUUGAUUCAGGAACAUAAGUUACAGAUACACAAAAAUAUAAAACAACAUAGGAAAGUUAUAGAAUUAUAAAUGGAUGGUAUGAAUAAUAAAAAUCUAAAAAUUUAGACAAAAUCCUUAAUUAGAGGCAAGAAGGAUUAAUGAAAAGACAAAGCUUAUUCCCAAAGGCUAACAUGAAGAAAGUCAUCCAGGGAAAAAGAACCACUCAUUUCUAUCAUCUUAACAAAAAUGGAUAAAAUAUGUUGAAUAAUCAUAAACACUAUCACAAAUUUGAUUAAGGUAUUUACUUUGAAAACUUGAAAUAAAAACAUUUACAGACUGAUAUUUUUGUAGCUCAACUUCCGAUCAACAGCUAUAAUUAACUCUUUAUCAAAGUUAAAAUAAGCCAUCCUAAAAGUAACUUUAAUUAUCCUCUGCAUGAAAUAAUUUUGGUAGUUUGAAAUAAUCUACAGAAUAUACAUACGUCUUUUACUUUUAAAAAUUUGUUUCUGUAAGUUAAUUUUAUCACUAACAAAUGACAGAACUUGUAGGCAUAAAAUAAGAUUUUCUAAAAUUUUUCAUUUCUAUCAUUUUAUGACAGAUUAUCUUGAAGAUAAAAUAUUUUCAAUAAAAUUGAUAAUUUGCCAAUUGUACCAGUUCUCGAUGAUAUUCAAGUUAAUACUUAAAAUCCAUUUUAAAAUAUCUUAUCAAAUUGUUUGCAGUUUACUAAUCAAGGAUAUAUAUGGGAAUACCCAGAAAUAAUAUUAAUAAUUAUUAAAAUAGUUAUUUAAUUUAAUAACUGGCAAAUAAAAUGAGUAGUGCAACUCAAUACUUAAAGCAAGGAGGCAGUAUUAGUUUCGAUUAAAAAGUUUAUUGGGCUACCCUACAAACUAAGAAUUGAUAAAUCAAGGAUAUAACAAUAAAACAUAAGGCCACCAUAAAUCAAUUGAUUUUGGACAUAAAGAUUUCCAAAUGUAAGAGUAAAAUAAAUGGAUGGUAUUGAUGAAAAUAUUAGGCAAAACAAAACCCAAAACCAAAAAACAGGGCAAUUUAAUAAACACUAAGAUAUUAAUAGAUCUUACACAAGAUCUCAAUUUGUAUACUUUAGGCAAGCAAAACAAUUAAUUUAAUGGAGAAAUGCACGGAUAUGCAUUAAAACAAUUUCAUUAUCUCUACGAUUUGGAAAAAAAAUUGGUAUAAACUGUACACAAGUUAAAACACUUAAAGGCAGAGACUAUUUUUAUUUACCAUAGUAUAGAAGGUGCCCAUCAUAAAGCUGAUUCUAGCACCUAGUAAGUCCUUAAUAAGUAAAUGAGGGAAGGAACUGAAAAAUAUCUGAAACUUUAAAUGCUACAAUAAUGCCAAGAAUUUUGUUACCUAGACAUGCAAAAUUAUCAGUUUACCAGAAACAUUUAAGUAUAUAAUUGUACUUCUCUGAGCAAACUGAAAUAUUAGUGUUUUGAAAUUGAGUGAAAAACAAUUCUGAGCCAGCUGUAUAUUACUUAAAACUGUUCUCAAGAUUAAUAGGUAAACUUAUAAUGAACAAACUUGGAUUAAACAAUGUUUAAUUAAUUGAUGGUUAUAAAAUACCUACCAAGACCGUCCUUUGUCAAAAAAAUUCCAUACAUAAAAUAUGAUUAUUUGUAAUACCACUGACAAAGUCUUAUAGCAUAGUUGUUUGUAUACUGACAUAUGUAUUUUAACAUAAAUACCCUGUCUAUCCAACCACCAGGAAAUAAAAUCUCUCCACCUGUUUCAGUUUUCAAAAAAAAAUUAUCAAUUAAUUUAUUGGUAUACUUGGUGCUAUCAUAAAGUAAAUGUAAAUGAACAGCAAACUAAAAGAUGAAUUAAAAUAUCCACACUAAGCCUGACUUCAGCUUUCACUGAACCUUUUCUCCAGAAGGAAACUGUAAAAAUAAAUCUCACUAGCGUUUGCUUUGCUUGACAGCAUAAUUGAGUAGUAACCAAAAUAGCCGUAUGUGGUCCUUUAAGCUUCAGAAACGCGCACCUUUUGAAUCAUCGUGCCGGGCACUUUGUACCUGACAGAUUUGCUGAAUGAACUUUUCCAGUAAUGCUGGCUUUGGGCUAAGCCAACCAAAUUUUCAGACUUUAGUGAAAAUAGCAUUUUUCAAGAAAGAGGGCAGACAGGAUGAAGAACGAAGUUUGUGACUCAGGAAGAAAGCUAACUUGCCCAACAUGAAUAUGAUCAUAUAAUCUAAUAAUGGACUGUCCACUAGCAAGCCCAUUUACAGAAACCUAAAAACAAAUAAUUAUCACUAUUUUGAGGGCUUCUGGUGUUGUGGAGGGCUUUCAAUGUCUAGAAGUAGUGUGUUUUCCUAGAAGUUUGUAAUAAACUUGCAUUUUUUUCCCUAGUAUUUUUUGUUUUCAGAAAUCUUUCAUAAAGUUCUCUCACAUACCCAUGUAAGGGACAGAGAUGGGAAGUU